UACGUAGGCCGCAAGCGUUGUUCGGAAUUACUGGGCGUAAAGAGUGUGUAGGCGGUGCUCUAAGUUUGGUGUGAAAUCUCCCGGCUCAACCGGGAGGCUGCAUCGAAUACUGGAAUGCUAGAGGGUGGGAGAGGUAAGCGGAAUUCCUGGUGUAGCGGUGAAAUGCGUAGAUAUCAGGAGGAACACCUGUGGUGUAGACAGCUUACUGGACCACUUCUGACGCUGAGACACGAAAGCGUGGGUAGCAAACAGG
rnacentral:rRNA from 1 species